CAAUAGCGUAUAUUAAAGUUGUUGCAGUUAAAAAGCUCGUAGUUGGAUCUCGGGUCCAGGCUUGCGGUUCUGCUCGUGCAGACACUGCUCGUCCUGACCUACCUGCCGGUUUUCCCUUGGUGCCCUUGACUGGGUGUCUCGGGUGGCCGGAACGUUUACUUUGAAAAAAUUAGAGUGUUCAAAGCAGGCAGCUCGCCUGAAUAAUGGUGCAUGGAAUAAUAGAAAAGGACCUCGGUUCUAUUUUGUUGGUUUUCGGAACUUGAGGUAAUGAUUAAGAGGGACAGACGGGGGCAUUCGUAUUACGGUGUUAGAGGUGAAAUUCUUGGAUCGCCGUAAGACGAACUACUGCGAAAGCAUUUGCCAAGAAUGUUUUCAUUAAUCAAGAACGAAAGUCAGAGGUUCGAAGACGAUCAGAUACCGUCGUAGUUCUGACCAUAAACGAUGCCAACUCGCGAUUCGCCGACGUUGUUUCCUUGACUCGGCGGGAAGCGUCCGGGAAACCAAAGUCUUUGGGUUCCGGGGGAAGUAUGGUUGCAAAGCUGAAACUUAAAGGAAUUGACGGAAGG
rnacentral:rRNA from 1 species